rnacentral:tRNA from 1 species
CGGUAGCUCAGUUGGACAGAGCGAUGGUUUCCUAAACCGUAGGUCGCAGGUUCGAACCCUGUCCG